rnacentral:rRNA from 1 species
AGAGUUUGAUCCUGGCUCAGGAUGAACGCUAGCGGCAGGCUUAACACAUGCAAGUCGAGGGGUAUAAGUCUUCGGAUUUAGAGACCGGCGCACGGGUGCGUAACGCGUAUGCAAUCUACCUUUUACAGAGGGAUAGCCCAGAGAAAUUUGGAUUAAUACCUCAUAGUAUAUAGAGUUGGCAUCAACACUAUAUUAAAGUCACAACGGUAAAAGAUGAGCAUGCGUCCCAUUAGCUUGUUGGUAAGGUAACGGCUUACCAAGGCUACGAUGGGUAGGGGUCCUGAGAGGGAGAUCCCCCACACUGGUACUGAGACACGGACCAGACUCCUACGGGAGGCAGCAGUGAGGAAUAUUGGUCAAUGGACGCAAGUCUGAACCAGCCAUGCCGCGUGCAGGAUGACGGUCCUAUGGAUUGUAAACUGCUUUUGCACAGGAAGAAACAACUCUACGUGUAGAGUCUUGACGGUACUGUGAGAAUAAGGAUCGGCUAACUCCGUGCCAGCAGCCGCGGUAAUACGGAGGAUCCAAGCGUUAUCCGGAAUCAUUGGGUUUAAAGGGUCCGUAGGCGGUUUAGUAAGUCAGUGGUGAAAGCCCAUCGCUCAACGGUGGAACGGCCAUUGAUACUGCUAAACUUGAAUUAUUAGGAAGUAACUAGAAUAUGUAGUGUAGCGGUGAAAUGCUUAGAGAUUACAUGGAAUACCAAUUGCGAAGGCAGGUUACUACUAAUGGAUUGACGCUGAUGGACGAAAGCGUGGGUAGCGAACAGGAUUAGAUACCCUGGUAGUCCACGCCGUAAACGAUGGAUACUAGCUGUUGGAAGCAAUUUCAGUGGCUAAGCGAAAGUGAUAAGUAUCCCACCUGGGGAGUACGUUCGCAAGAAUGAAACUCAAAGGAAUUGACGGGGGCCCGCACAAGCGGUGGAGCAUGUGGUUUAAUUCGAUGAUACGCGAGGAACCUUACCAAGGCUUAAAUGUAGAUUGACCGGUUUGGAAACAGACUUUUCGCAAGACAAUUUACAAGGUGCUGCAUGGUUGUCGUCAGCUCGUGCCGUGAGGUGUCAGGUUAAGUCCUAUAACGAGCGCAACCCCUGUUGUUAGUUGCCAGCGAGUCAUGUCGGGAACUCUAACAAGACUGCCAGUGUAAACUGUGAGGAAGGUGGGGAUGACGUCAAAUCAUCACGGCCCUUACGCCUUGGGCUACACACGUGCUACAAUGGCCGGUACAGAGAGCAGCCACUGGGCGACCAGGAGCGAAUCUACAAAACCGGUCACAGUUCGGAUCGGAGUCUGCAACUCGACUCCGUGAAGCUGGAAUCGCUAGUAAUGGGAUAUCAGCCAUGAUCCGGUGAAUACGUUCCCGGGCCUUGUACACACCGCCCGUCAAGCCAUGGAAGCUGGGGGUGCCUGAAGUCGGUGACCGCAAGGAGCUGCCUAGGGUAAAACUGGUAACUAGGGCUAAGUCGUAACAAGGUA